CUGAUUUAUUAAAUGGCCGCAGUAUUCUAACUGUGCAAAGGUAGCAUAAUCAUUAGUUUUUUAAUUGAAAGCUUGUAUGAAUGAUUGGACGAGAUAUUAGCUGUCUCAUAAAAAUAAUUUGAAUUUUAUUUUUUAGUCAAAAAGCUAAAAUAGUUUUAAAAGACGAGAAGACCCUAUAGAUCUUUAUAACUAUUAUUAUAAUAUUUUUUUAGUAAAAUUAUUUUAUUAUAAAUAAGGUUAUUUUGUUGGGGUGACAGUAAAAUUUAUUAAACUUUUAUUAUUUUAUAACAUAAAUUAAUGAAUUGUUGAUCCUUUAUUAAAGAUUAAAAAUUUAAGUUACCUUAGGGAUAACAGCGUAAUUAUUUUGGAGAGUUCAUAUCAAUAAAAUAGAUUGCGACCUCGAUGUUGGAUUAAGAUUAAUUUUUGGUGCAGAAGCUAAAAAUAU
rnacentral:rRNA from 1 species